CGGGACGAGGAUAUGAAAAAAAAAAAACUUCUUCUCAUAUCUCUCUCACAUUGCAGCCCCUUGCCUCUUCGUUUCCCUCUUCACGGAGGGAACGAGGCGUGCGAUUCGGUCGGCGGCGGCGGCGAUCGGCGACGAUUGAAGGGGUACUGGUCGACGAGGAGUAGAGAGGCUGCACGCACUCCUCAAUCUGGGCAAGAACACGGCAGCCGCGGUGGAAGAUGGGGGCAAGAUUGCGGCGGCAAGGUGAAGACGCACCUGUGUAUGAUAAUGGUACUGAGGAGUUCUCUGUUGAAGUUCACCGUGGGGGAUUCUUUGUUGGGCACGGCCAUCUCAGAUCAUAUGUGGGUGGGAAAGUCAGCUGGUUUGAUCAUGUUGAAACAGACACUUGGUCUCCACUGUGGCUAGAUCAAUUUGUUGAGGAUUUAGGGUACUUAAGGACUGCAAAUUUGAAGAUUUAUUGGUUGUUACCAGGGGAAGAUAUUGCAGAUGGACUCAGGGUCAUUGAUUGUGAAAGAGAUAUGAGAAGAAGGUUUUUUUUUUUGCAUAUUUACCUCGUCCCGUCAUCUGCCUUUCCACGUUGGUUUCCAGGUUGGACAACCACGUCGGCAAUUGGAGCGGGUUAAAGCCCGUCUGGACAUGUGAUAAUUCUGCAAUUUGAGAGUGUGGGGACCAAAAUGACACACCUUGAGGUCCGGCCAUGCAUUUUACUCUAUCCCACACCUAAAUUCCAGUUCUUCUGAGAUUGUAUUCCAGCUAAAUUCCAGUUCUUCUGAGAUUGUAUUCCAGCUAUCAAUUAGUCUUGCUAUUGGUACGAUGAAGGUGCUUAGCCAUGA